CAUAGCAGUAAAAGUCUUAACCAGGGCAUUACAUAUGCAAUACUUUAUUUAUUGUUUUCAAAGUAUUUUUAACAUAUUGAAUAGGAUGUAUCACAACCACCUGUUUAUUGUUUAAAAUAAUGAAACUAGGCUGCUGAUUCAAAGGUUAAGAGUUCUGUCUCAGCUAGGUGUGCAACCUAGGUGAGGUUUCUUCUCAGCAGGAAGUCAGUCUUCUGGACAGCUUUUGAUUCCUGUGGCUCAUUAGCUAUCAGAGUUAUACUUAAAAACUUGCAUUGAGAGCAUUGGUCACAUUAGAAGAACCAGGAGAUUCAUGGUCUGCUGAGGACAAGAUUUAUGGCGUUCAAAACUGGUGAUCCAGAAAUAUACAAGGCAUCCAGAUACAGCAUGGUAACACGGCCCUUCCUGCCCAGCAAGUGCACGCUGCCCAAUUGCAUCCAUGUGACCAAUUAACCCACUAACCCAUACAUCUUUCUGGAAUGUGGGAGGAAACUGAAACACUGGAAGGAAACCCACACAGGUGUUCCAAAAAAAUUGAAGUUAAAAAAAGUGCUUUCCCAGUGUAUAUGAUGAAUAAACUCUUCUUGGGCUUCCAGCCGGAUGCAAAUAUUGAUUAUAACCGGAGAUUCGAUGACAAACUUGCCAUCUUCUUCAGGGAUGAUGCCUGAAUCAAAGUACUUUAGAAAAGCUUUCAAAAGUUACUUGUACCUGGGUGAAAGAAGAGUCCAUGAAUCUGCCUUUCUCAAAGUUUUUGUCACAAAGCUUCAAAAUGCCUGCAUGUAUGGGGGUUAAAAACAUCUUUGGAAGGAUAUUUGCUGAAAAAAAUCUGGCAGAAUCAUCACUCUGAAAGUACAUUAUUUUAUUUAUGAUAAUUGUAUUUAGAUUGAUGUAAAUAAUGUUUUAAUUUGAUGAUAAAAUAUGCAAACCAAAUCGUUGUCAGUUUUUUGCCAACAUGAUAUAAACUAAGUACAAUGUUCGAAAUAUAUGAUGAUGGACUUCCUUAUGUUUAAUGGCUUGGUUCUCAUGACAUUUUUGCAA